AACAUAGGAGACAAACGUUAUCCGGAAUUACUGGGCGUAAAGCGUGCGCAGGCGGUUCGCAAAGACAGGUGUGAAAUCCCCGGGCUUAACCUGGGAACUGCGCUUGUAACUAGCGGGCUAGAGUACGGCAGAGGGGGGUGGAAUUCCACGUGUAGCAGUGAAAUGCGUAGGGAUGUGGAGGAACACCGAUGGCGAAGGCAGCCCCCUGGGCUAGUACUGACGCUCAUGCACAAAAGCGUGGGGAGCAAACAGG
rnacentral:rRNA from 1 species